UACGGGGGGUGCGAGCGUUGUCCGGAAUCACUGGGCGUAAAGGGCGCGUAGGUGGCCCGGUCAGCGUGCGGAUGAAGCUCGGGGACUCAACCCCGGAGUCGGCCGUGCGAACUGCUGGGCUCGAGCACUGUAGAGGCAGGCGGAAUUCCGGGGUGUAGCGGUGGAAUGCGUAGAGAUCCGGAAGAACACCGGUGGCGAAGGCGGCCUGCUGGGCAGUACGCUGACACUGAGGCGCGACAGCGGUGGGGAGCAAACAGGG
rnacentral:rRNA from 1 species